rnacentral:rRNA from 1 species
GGGUCAGUAGGUUGGUCGUGCCACCGGUACGUACUGGUCUCACUGAUUCCUCCUUCCUGAAGAACCGUAAUGCCACUAAUUUGGUGUUGCGGGGAAACAGGACUGUUACUUUGAAAAAAUUAGAGUGUUUAAAGCAAGCUAACGCUUGAAUACAUUAGCGUGGAAUAAUGAAAUAGGACGAUCGAUCCUAUUUUGUUGGUUUCUAGGAUUGACGUA